UACGUAGGGUGCAAGCGUUGUCCGGAAUUAUUGGGCGUAAAGCGCGUGUAGGCGGCCCGAUAAGUCCGCUGUGAAAGUCCAGGGCUCAACCCUGGGAUGCCGGUGGAUACUGUCGGGCUCGAGUCCGGAAGAGGCGAGUGGAAUUCCUGGUGUAGCGGUGAAAUGACGCAGAUAUCAGGAGGAACACCUAUGGCGAAGGCAGCUCGCUGGGACGGUACUGACGCUGAGGCGCGAAAGCGUGGGGAGCGAACAGG
rnacentral:rRNA from 1 species